UUUAUGACCAUCAGGCUAGACUUCAAGUGGCCUUUGAUGGGGCUAGAAGUCACAUGAAGGCUGCAGCAGACUGUAGAAAAGAGCGAGAUGACCGGAGAGUACAGGAUGAACCUCUAUGUCAAGGUGAGUUGGUGUAUUUGCAGGACCUUUGUGUGCGAGGCUGGGCAAAGAUUCAAGAUUGCUGGAGUUCUGUGGUUUACAAAUUGCUGCGAGCCCCUACACCUGGUGGGUCUGCGUACACCAUUGCCCCUGUUGAUGAUUUGGAAAAAGUUAGACAUGUGCAUCAUACCCUGUUCAGCUCAACCAUCUGGGCAGAAUUGAGCACAGCCUUCUAACUCAGUUUCAGAGUCUGAUCAAGUAUCGAUGGAAUCUGGGGACCUAUCGGAUGACGAUAUGUGUUUGCUGGUGUCUUCAGAGCAAGAAAUUUCCCUUCCAUUUAUAGUGCCAAGUGUUCGUCCAUCUUUGCCGCCUCCUACUCCUGCUCCAUCUUUGCCCCGAGGGUAUGUCCAUGUCAUCUAGUAGUGUCCCUGAUCUUGAGCCUACUCUAGUCACUAGGCGAGGAAUCAUGGACUCUUCAGUGGCAUCAGAGGGCAUAGUUCCUACUGUAAGAGCACAUUUACGUCAGACUACACGAACAACUGCAGGCUACCAUUCCAAUGUCCAUCACUUGCCAGAGACAAUGGGGGAUAGAGGGGGUAUUGUGAACUCUCAGAUAACUGUAACAAACAAUGUUUCCACUCUCUUUAGGCCUUGGAGUUAAUAUCGUCGGGUCGACGAAUUUUAAACCAGGGAGUAGAAUGUGACAGGUUAAGUUUCUUUAUUUGUUUAAUGGUGUAUCUCAACUCAGGAGACACGCAGACACGUUUUCAUAGUUGCAGAUCAUAGUCUAAAAAUGUGUGUGUUAUCAGGGAUGUGUGUGCGUGGAGUGACAAUCGAGCGCAGGUAGCAUAAAGUUAUAGUAGUCUGAGUUUCGCUUGGGAGUUAAGACAUUUUUCUCGUGGGUUCUUUUUUUGGGAAAGGGGAAAUCAUUUAAAAACGGUUUUACUAUUUGUUUUUUUUGUUUUCAGGUGUGGCCUAAGAGCUUUGAUGCCGGUUUGAUACGCCUGUUUGAUAUACCUGUUCUUAUAUACCUCUUCUACACCUUUUUGAUAUACGCGUUUCAUUGAUUGAGCUCCAUAUUGCCAUUUCACUAAUACAACUGGCUGUGGACGUCGCGGUUCUGCACCGCUGAUUGGAACAGUGUUUUAAAGAUUAUUCUGCCCAACUUAUUUGUACAUUUAAUUUAUUCAGUUAUAGUCAUAGUGCCUGCGGACAACUGGAAAUAACUUGUUCCCUUUCGAAAGGGAACUCAACUCUGCGUUGGAAUACACAAUGGGGAACGUCACGUGACCCAGGUGUCUGAAAACCAACUAUCCAACAACUCCAAUCCCUAUUGGCCGGCGACAGCCUAUGACGUAAUUGUUAUGAUACAGACGGGUCGGACACAGAGAAUCACAGAUAUCAGAGUCCUUAGAGAUCGCUGGAGGUAAGUGAGCACUCACACACACAGAAACAAGAGGAGCAGGGAUCACACUGGAGACAGGUAAGUAGAGAGUCCAAGAGUCUGUAAGCAUUUGGGGUAUGUACAAACGAGACCGGACGUGGAGUGGUGUGUGUGCGUGCUCUUUUAUAGUGCGAGUGAUGAUUGGCUGAUGAGGUGCAGGUGUGCGUGAUCAGUAUUCUGGUGAAGGUGAGCGUUGUGAUUGGGUGAUGGUGGAGCCUGGCGUGUCUGUGACACAUGAAUGAUUUACACAAUUUUUUUCUGUUUGUGUUUCAUGCAAUGAAACUGAACGGUGACUGCAUUAUGCCUGAGAUCUGCUUUUGGGAUCCACAGACAGACUCAAACAGGGAUCUUGGCCUAGUUUGCUGAAACAAAAAUCCUCCUGUAGACCUGAAAAUCAUUGAAGUGCCUGGAUCAUCCACCAGAAAAGAGAAAAAAGAAGCCUAGCAGAAAACAAAGCUGCUGUAACUUUUUACUUUUCUGAUUAAUUACCUCAAAUGUAUCUUGUGAAGAUUUUAUUAUUGAUUGGAUUUUAUGUUGCCGUGAGUACAGGUGCAGUCACAUUUGUGGCAUUUCUGUUAAAUCACUCAGGCAAAAAGGUCCAUUGAUCAUUAUAAGCAAUAUAGUGACAUAUUAUAUGACGCAGCUCACAUAGGAGUCACUUUUAAUCAGCUUUCUGUUGGUCAAAUCUGGCGAAUUUCAGUAACCAACUUGGAUACUUAGUGAAAUUUUUGACCACAUAUGAAAUUAAAGGGUUACUUCAGGAUUUAACAUUAAGCUUUGUAUUAGUAGAAUACCACUAGUAUUUUCGAAUUACCGUGCUUUCCCCCUUCAUAUCAGCCCGAGAUG